GUUUCUCUGUCUGAAUGAAAAGAAAAUUGUGUGAUUCAUGUAUAUGGACAGCAAUUCUCCAUGGUAGUGAGACAUGGGACCUGAAUGCAGAGGGCAUGCAAAGGUUAGUAAGGAAUGUGGCUAGUAUGCUCCAUUGGAUGUAUAAUAUAAGAGUACAUGUUUGACAGAAUUCUAGGGUUUUGAGAGAGAAGUUAGACAUAAGAGGAAUUGGUUGCUGUGUGCAAGAGAGAUGACUGUACUGGUUUGGUCAAGUGAUGCGGAUGGAUGCCAACAGCUCCAUAGAGAAGUGCUGAUCUCUCAAAGUGGAUGGAACAUGUGGAAGUGGGACAUCCCGGAAGAUGCAGUAUUGAA